AAGCCGCUGGCAGUAUACCUGGUCCAGUCACAGCCUUGCAUGGAGCCAGUGCUUGUGCCGGUCGGUGUCUGGAGCUGCCUGCCUCACUUCAGCAGCUGGUGCGCCUGGCUGUGUGCCGUGGCCGGAUUCUGCGCUUGUUUGCUCACACACCCCUCGCCACUCCACGCCUAGCCCACCCUCGGUGGGCAUGGGAUCUGGGCUGGUAGUGCAAACCGAGCGCAGCCCGCUGGACCCCGAGUGGGCGUGAGUGAAACUCAAGCAGAGGCACUAGUGGACACAGAAGUUUCCAGAAGUUGAAGCGACACUCGAAAAAUCCUGUGAAAUUUCCAGUAAUUUCUAGAUAUGGAGUCUCAUUAUGUUGCCCAGGCUGGACUCAAACUCCUGGACUCAAGAGAUUUUCCUGCCUCAGACUCUCAAAUAGCUGGAACUGCAGGCAUAUACCAUCACACUUGUCUCAGAUGACAGUUCUAAUCAAAUGGCUUUCCUAGUUUCUUGAGUUGUGAACUUCUUUGACUCUAUUAAAUUUUAUAAAUAAACCCAA